UCGAGAAUUUUUCUCAAUGGGGGAAACCCUGAAGGAGCGACGCCGCGUGGAGGAUGAAGGUCUUCGGAUUGUAAACUCCUGUCAUUUGGGAACAAUUGUCACCGGUUAACUGCCGGGGGCUUGAUAGUACCAGAAGAGGAAGAGACGGCUAACUCUGUGCCAGCAGCCGCGGUAAUACAGAGGUCUCAAGCGUUGUUCGGAUUCAUUGGGCGUAAAGGGUGCGUAGGUGGCGGGGUAAGUCAGGUGUGAAAUCUCGAGGCUCAACCUCGAAACUGCACUUGAUACUGCCUUGCUGGAGUACUGGAGAGGAGAUUGGAAUUUACGGUGUAGCAGUGAAAUGCGUAGAUAUCGUAAGGAAGACCAGUGGCGAAGGCGAAUCUCUGGACAGUUACUGACACUGAGGCACGAAGGCCAGGGGAGCAAACGG
rnacentral:rRNA from 1 species